rnacentral:rRNA from 1 species
UGGCGGACGGGUGAGUAAUGUCUGGGAACCUGCCCGAUGGAGGGGGAUAACUACUGGAAACGGUAGCUAAUACCGCAUAACGUCGCAAGACCAAAGAGGGGGACCUUCGGGCCUCUUGCCAUCGGAUGUGCCCAGAUGGGAUUAGCUAGUAGGUGGGGUAACGGCUCACCUAGGCGACGAUCCCUAGCUGGUCUGAGAGGAUGACCAGCCACACUGGAACUGAGACACGGUCCAG